ACGUUAGCGGCGGACGGGUGAGUAACACGUGGGUAACCUACCUAUAAGACUGGGAUAACUUCGGGAAACCGGAGCUAAUACCGGAUAAUAUUUCGAACCGCAUGGUUCGAUAGUGAAAGAUGGUUUUGCUAUCACUUAUAUAUGGACCCGCGCCGUAUUAGCUAGUUGGUAAGGUAACGGCUUACCAAGGCGACGAUACGUAGCCGACCUGAGAGGGUGAUCGGCCACACUGGAACUGAGACACGGUCCAGACUCCUACGGGAGGCAGCAGAG
rnacentral:rRNA from 1 species